rnacentral:lncRNA from 1 species
UGGGAAUGCUUGGGUCUACCCAGUCCGGAAAUGCUGAUGGUGAACGGACGUACAGACACGGAUGGACAUGCACAAGCAUGCGCACCUCCUGGACGCUGCAGCUUCAACCCAAAGGCAACCUCCACCCUGUUCCAGCAUCUUUUAGCGUUGGAAAACUGACUCUGUUUCCAGGAGCGUGUGGCUGUCUCAGGUAAUGAAAAGUGCUCAGACAGAGGGUGCAUUUGGGAGUUGGCGGCACUUUCUUCUUCCCCUCACCUGCUUACUACUUAAGCACUAGAGCCCGGGGGGUACAUUUUGCACUGUCAAGUCUUUAUUUAACUUCUUGUGCACACAUGUCGUUUCCUCAACUACAAGGUAAGCUUUAUAAGAAGCCGG